rnacentral:rRNA from 1 species
AUUGAACGCUGGCGGCAGGCCUAACACAUGCAAGUCGAACGGUAACAGGAAGAAGCUUGCUUCUUUGCUGACGAGUGGCGGACGGGUGAGUAAUGUCUGGGAAACUGCCUGAUGGAGGGGGAUAACUACUGGAAACGGUAGCUAAUACCGCAUAACGUCGCAAGACCAAAAAGGGGGACCUUCGGGCCUCUUGCCAUCGGAUGUGCCCAGAUGGGAUUCGCUAGUAGGUGGGGUAACGGCUCACCUAGGCGACGAUCCCUAGCUGGUCUGAGAGGAUGACCAGCCACACUGGAACUGAGACACGGUCCAGACUCCUACGGGAGGCAGCAGUGGGAAUAUUGCACAAUGGGCGCAAGCCUGAUGCAGCCAUGCCGCGUGUAUGAAGAAGGCCUUCGGGUUGUAAAGUACUUUCAGCGGGGAGGAAGGGAGUAAAGUUAAUACCUUUGCUCAUUGACGUUACCCGCAGAAGAAGCACCGGCUAACUCCGUG